GCAGACACAUUCCAGCCAAUCAGCAGCAGACCCUCCCUCCCAGACCCUCCCACCUCCUGGACAGCUCACUAAGAAUGCAGCUUCACAAUGAAUGUAAAAUGGAUGCUGUCCAGGAGGUUGGGAGGGUCUGGGAGGGAGGGUCUGCUGCUGAUUGGCUGGAAUGUGUCUG
rnacentral:miRNA from 1 species